AACUAUAUUUGGUAUCUAAAUUAUCAUAUUAAUUUUUUAUUAAUUAUUAUAGUUCACUUCUCAUUCUAUUUUUACGGAAAAAUAAUAUCAUCAUUAUAAAAAAAAAUAGAGUUUUUUCGCAUAUGCCAUAAUUUGAAUUUUUAAAAACGAACAUAAACUGUUCAAUACAUGAAAUAAUAUUAUAACGGGUGAAAAAUAUAUUUAAGAAAACUUUCUACUGAAUAACGGGACAUAAAUUUGAAAUAUUUA
rnacentral:sRNA from 1 species